AGUGAACGCUGGUGGCAGGCCUAACACAUGCAAGUCGAACGGCAGCACAGAGGAGCUUGCUCCUUGGGUGGCGAGUGGCGGACGGGUGAGGAAUGCGUCGGAAUCUGCCUAUUUGUGAGGGAUAACGUAGGGAAACUUACGCUAAUACCGCAUACGACCUACGGGUGAAAGUGGGGGACCUUCGGACCUCACGCAGAUAGAUGAGCCGACGCCGGAUUAGCUAGUUGGCGGGGUAAAGGCCCACCAAGGCGACGAUCCGUAGCUGGUCUGAGAGGAUGAUCAGCCACACUGGGACUGAGACACGGCCCAGACUCCUACGGGAGGCAGCAGUGGGGAAUAUUGGACAAUGGGCGCAAGCCUGAUCCAGCCAUGCCGCGUGUGUGAAGAAGGCCUUCGGGUUGUAAAGCACUUUUGUCCGGAAAGAAAUCCAAUCGAUUAAUACUCGGUUGGGAUGACGGUACCGGAAGAAUAAGCACCGGCUAACUUCGUGCCAGCCGCCGCGGUAAGAC
rnacentral:rRNA from 1 species